CUUGGUCAUUUAGAGGAAGUAAAAGUCGUAACAAGGUUUCCGUAGGUGAACCUGCGGAAGGAUCAUUACCGAGGGGGGGGCCCCUUUUCCCCCACGGGGGGGUGGGGCCCCGGAUCUUCCCACCCAUGUUGACCGUACCACGUUGCUUCGGCGGGGACGCCUGCCGGAGGGGUUCCGAAUUAACCGCUGUUCUGUCUCAAGGAUGUGUCUGAGUCGGGCUGGAUGACACCGGCCAAAUCGAAGCGAACAAAACUUUCAACAAUGGAUCUCUUGGUUCCGGCAUCGAUGAAGAACGCAGCGAAAUGUGAUAAGUAAUGUGAAUUGCAGAAUUCCGUGAAUCAUCGAAUCUUUGAACGCAUAUUGCGCUCCCUGGGAGUCCAGGGAGCAUGCCUGUCCGAGCGUCAGUGCCUGUUCUCCGGGCCCCUUCCCCCUGGAGGGGGGGAAAAAACAUGGGGGCCCGGGUGUUGGGUGCGCCGUCCUCCGGGGAUCCCGGAACGAGGACGGGGCCCGAAACGCAGCGGCGGUGCCGUGUCCGGUCCUGGAGCGUUAUGGGGCAUCUGUCACGCGCUCGAGGGGGGACUGGACCCGGUCACCGGCCUUUCCAGGGACGGACGUUCGCUCGUUCCUGUUCACCAUCCGGUUGACCUCGGAUCAGGUAGGGAUACCCGCUGAACUUAAGCAUAUCAAUAAGCGGAGGA
rnacentral:rRNA from 1 species